CGGUAGCUCGUCAGGCUCAUAACCUGAAGGCCGCAGGUUCAAAUCCUGCCCCCGCAA
rfam:Rhizobium sp. Root1212 contig_4, whole genome shotgun sequence.